ensembl:lncRNA
UGAUUCUGGGGUCAGAAGACUUUGAUUUUUGGGUCAUCUUGGGCAAGAACUGUUUGCUUAUCUGUCAUUGACAUCAGGGAGGGAGAAUGAGAAUUCUGAGGACCCGUAAUCCUGGUUUUCCUCAUUUUGUCCCAGAUAUACCACUAUCCUCCCAACUUCCCAUCCCCACCUUCCCUUUGGCAAAAUAAAUCAACACAUUGGCCGGAUCUGAGACCAUUGAUCCAUUUUUUUCCAUCCGGAGUCCAUUAACCCUCUGUCAGGAGGUGGGAGGUGGAGUUCAGAAGCAGGCUUCCCAUGUGGCAUCCGCCGCUUUGAUCACAGCCUCCAAAGUUGCUUUUCUUCACAUAAAUGAGGAAACUGACAUUUGGCUGCUGGUGAUUGAAACAGUGAGUGUCAGGAGCAGGGUUUGAGCCCGAGUUUCCACUGACUCCAUGUUGCACAUUCUUCCUACUACACAUACCUCAUCUUGAUGGAUGUCAUUUUCUUGAUAUAAAAUGAGGGCUUGGACCUAGAUGAUCUCUAAGGUCACUUCCAGUUCUAAAAUCCCAUUAAUCCACGAGGAGAGAAGGCAUUUCAUAUGUCCUGCCUCCAGAUUAUGAGGCUCGGGGAAGCUGAGGCGUCCUGGACACCAGGGGACAGGGGCAGAAAAAGUGGGGAGGCCAGGGGAAAGAAAUGUAAAAAAGGAAGAGAAACAACUUUCAAAAAUUUCAGAAAUUAUGAGAAAAGAAAGCUAUGUUUUCCCAUCCUCACUACACCAAAUGACCCACUUCUUUCAGAAAAACUCAAGCCAGUAUCAUUAAUAUUAUAUAAAUAUUAGUUACAUUAUGGAUGAAAAUAGCUUUGGGGAGACUGGCCUGAGAACCUAACACUGCCUCAACAGGAAAAUACACCAAGUACCACAUAAUUUAUAACAUAAUAUUUGGAGCACAAUCUGUCCUAAGCUGGAACACUGGCUGAUCAUAUGACGAUUCCUUAUCUGUAGAACUGGGAUAAUAAUAAUUGUCCUACCUCUAUCACAAAGCUACCAUAAGGACCAAAUGAAAUGGUUAUAAAAAAAAGGUUUUUUUAAUUAUAAAGUACUAUAUAAAUUUAAUAUGACAUUGUAGAAUGCAACAUGGUAUAGUGCUGAACAAGAAAGCACUCUGUAAAUUGUUAAAACUAUGCAAAUAUAAAAUAUUACAUUCUUGCUGAGUGUAUGUUUGUAAGAGAUUACAACUGGUAUCGAUUUUUCUGAGAUGGUCCCUAUCCAAAAUUGUUUGCUGAAAGAUGAAAACUGACAAAGCACAUAUUUGCCGUGCCAAAAACUUAAGACAGUGCCGUUCCCAUCUCCCUUACAACACAGACAAUGAAGUCUCUGCUCAUUCCUAAUGUACAGUACCCUGUACUGAGGGUAUGUAGCUAAGACAAUCUGGGCCCACAGAGGCAGAGAGCCCCAGCCCCUCACCUUCCUAAUGAGGACACGGCAAGCUCAGGGCUGUGCCCACGCAGGUUCCUGCAGACAGUCUCCUGGAGGGCUGGGCCCCACUCCCAGGAUGCCAGGUCUGAUACAUCACCUCACAAAAAGCAGGGCCGAGAGCAGCAGCCUUGGCGGCACCAUGCCAGCACCGCACCAGGGCAUUUUAAGUUCUAGAGCUGCCAAAACCCAAGUGUUUCACACCAAAAAGAAGUCUUAAAUACUUUCUUCAUUUGAGUUUAAUGAAAUUUCCCAACAGAAUUCCUAUUUGGUUCUACUUGGCGCAUAUACGGGCUCUUCUAUACAUAAACAAAGGCAAUGUGGUGCAAUGAGAAGUGUCCCAGGUACAUUAUCCAUCGAGUGACCCACCUAAAACAUGAAGGAUCCAUCUAUUGGGCCUCUAUGACUCUCUACAUUACAAACCUGAAUUCAAAUCCAGCCUCAGACUCUUACUUGCUCUAUGAUCCCAGGCAAGUCCCUUAAACUGUCGGCUGCAAUGUCCCCAGUUGUAAAACAGAGAAAGUAAUAAUGCCUAUCUUGCAGGGUGGUUGUGAGGGUCAAAUAACAUCUUUGUGAAGUGUUUUUACCAUAGGGCUUGGCACACAGAAUGUGUAAUAUAAACGCUAGCUGUAAUCAUCAUUACGAUUACUUUUAAGUACCUAUGUGUUUGCCAGGCAGUACACAAGACAGAGAUAAAAAUACAAAGACAAAAAUAAAACAGCCCCUAUUCCUUUAGGACCUUACAUUCUGUUGAGGAAUCAAUAUGUGUGUAUACAAAACAGAUACAGGCAAAAUCAGCACCGGGGACACCAGCCAAGGACACUAGAGUUUCAUGUAGAAGACAUCUGACAUGAAUUUAGAAAGAGAGAUUACAUGAGAGGCAGAGGUGAGGAGGGAAUCCAUCCCAGGCAUAUGGGACUGCCUGUGCAAAGGCGGGAGGCAGGAGUGAGACAUGUGAGGACAGGAAGGAAGCUGAUGGGACUGAACCAGAGAAUGUGAAUGAGCCCAGUCCAGGAGCCUGGAUACCCAGCAGCUGACAGGAGGGUCAGGGAGACGGGCGGCAUGUUUGAUGACUAAGUUAGCAUCCAGAUCCUGGCAGGCCGGGACCACAGGGUGGAAACUAAUUAAAUGAAGUUUAAUAGGGUUAAAUCUUAAGGCUCAUCCUUAGGUUCAAAAACUUAUCUCCAGGAAUAAAAAAUGGGGGAGCCAGCCUGACAAAGAUUUAGGGCCAGGAGUGAGUUCUAUAUGAAUCAAGUGGGACAUGACAGUCCAGAAGCGAAUGUGGUCCUCCUUUAUGGCACUGAGAAGCAGAGAGGGAAAGGGGCUUAUGCCAUGGUAACUCGAGCCAAGGCUCAGUUCUGGGCCCUACAACUGCAGAAGGAGACUCAUAACCCUGAAUGUGUCCAGUUCUUGUUCUGCUUAGCGAUGAUAGGAAAUUAGGAGUUAAUGGUGAAAGGCAGAUAGGCCAACGAACAGGAUUUCUGAACAGUUAGGGCAACCCAAAGGGGAAUGUACUGUCUCAGGGGUCAGAGGAUCCAGCUUUCUAGAGAUCUUCAAACAAAAGCUAGAUAGUCCUCUGUCAAACGUAUAGUAGAGGAGAAUCUUGUGCAACUAAGGUUCCUUUCUAUCUCUGGGGUUCUAUAAAAAUGUGCACAUAUGUGU